rnacentral:rRNA from 1 species
GAAGGCCUACGGGACGCAGCAGUGAGGAAUAUUGGUCAAUGGGCGCAAGCCUGAACCAGCCAAGUCGCGUGAGGGAUGACGGUCCUAUGGAUUGUAAACCUCUUUUGUCGGGGAGCAAGGCCCGCCACGUGUGGCGGGAAGGAGAGUACCCGAAGAAAAAGCAUCGGCUAACUCCGUGCCAGCAGCCGCAGUAAUACGGAGGAUGCGAGCGUUAUCCGGAUUUAUUGGGUUUAAAGGGUGCGUAGGCGGAAGGUUAAGUCAGCGGGCAAAUGUCGGGGCUCAACACCGGCCUGCCGUUGAA